rnacentral:rRNA from 1 species
AGCGAACGCUGGCGGCAGGCCUAACACAUGCAAGUCGAACGAACUCUUCGGAGUUAGUGGCGGACGAGUGAGUAACACGUGGGAACGUGCCUUAGGUUCGGAAUAACUCAGGGAAACUUGUGCUAAUACCGAAUGUGCCCUUCGGGGGAAAGAUUUAUCGCCUUUAGAGCGGCCCGCGUCUGAUUAGCUAGUUGGUGAGGUAACGGCUCACCAAGGCGACGAUCAGUAGCUGGUCUGAGAGGAUGACCAGCCACACUGGGACUGAGACACGGCCCAGACUCCUACGGGAGGCAGCAGUGGGGAAUCUUGCGCAAUGGGCGAAAGCCUGACGCAGCCAUGCCGCGUGAAUGAUGAAGGUCUUAGGAUUGUAAAAUUCUUUCACCGGGGACGAUAACGACGGUACCCGGAGAAGAAGCCCCGGCUAACUUCGUGCCAGCCGCCGCAGUAACAC